rnacentral:rRNA from 1 species
UACACGCAUGACACACUGCAUAUCAAUAAGCGGAGGAAAAGAAACUAACAAGGAUUCCCCUAGUAACGGCGAGUGAAGCGGGAAGAGCUCAAAUUUGAAAUCUUAAAGGGUUUCCCUUUACGAAUUGUAGUUUAAAGAAGUGUUUUCUGUUGAGGUUUUGGUAAAAGUUCUUUGGAAUAGGACAUCAUAGAGGGUGAGAAUCCCGUAUUUGACCAUUUACUUUCAGCUUUGUGAUACACUUUCAAAGAGUCGGAUUGUUUGGGAAUGCAGUCCAAAAUGGGAUGGUAAAUUUCAUCUAAAGCUAAAUAUUGGCGAGAGACCGAUAGCGGACAAGUACCGUGAGGGAAAGAUGAAAAGAACUUUGAAAAGAGAGUUAAACAGUACGUGAAAUUGUCAAAAGGGAAGCGUUUGACACCAGUGUUGUUUUUCUGAAAAUCAAUUAAAGAACUGUUUAUGCUAAGCUGUUUAGACUUUAUCAGCUAUCUGUUUAGUUUUGAGCUUUUCUUUAAUGCACUUUUCAGUUAACAAGUCAACAUCAAUUUCUUUUGCUGUAAAAAAGCUUGAGGAAGGUGGCUUGAGAUUCGUCUUAAGUGUUUAUAGCCUCUUGCCUAUGCAGUCGGAGAGAUUGAGGUCUGCAGCGUAGAUCCUUCGGGGCCUAAAUGCAUUUGUGCUAAGUUAUAGCAUUUUAUAGACAACUUGUUGACUAUGAUUUGUCUUGUAGCUUACUCGCUUAUGUUAUUUUACCUACGCUUAGGAUGUUGAGCGCAUGUCUCUCUCU